rnacentral:rRNA from 1 species
UACGUAGGGUGCAAGCGUUGUCCGGAAUUACUGGGCGUAAAGAGCUCGUAGGCGGUUUGUCGCGUCGUCUGUGAAAACUCGAGGCUCAACCUCGAGCUUGCAGGCGAUACGGGCAGACUUGAGUACUGCAGGGGAGACUGGAAUUCCUGGUGUAGCGGUGAAAUGCGCAGAUAUCAGGAGGAACACCGGUGGCGAAGGCGGCUCUCUGGACGGUGACUGACGCUGAGACGCGAAAGCGUGGGGAGCAAACAGG